rnacentral:lncRNA from 1 species
CAGCAAGAAGAGGAUAAGUCACUAUCCAACUACAUCACAUACUUCAAUGCCACCAUGUUUGAGAUGUCGAGCUUUGACAAGUAGUCGGUGGCAAUGUCAGCACUUAAGCGAAGACUGUGAAAUAAGCGCCUUGUCUUUUUCCUCGACAAGAAAUUUUCGAUGGAUUAUGCUGACCUACUAGCCCGAGCUUGGAAGUAUGCUCAGGUAGAAGAAGCUCGAGAAUUCCAUAGGUAGGCUGAGAGAAAGAUUAUCUCCAAUAAGAAGAGGAAUUGGAAAGAUCCCCCAGUAGCUCAGACUGAGGGGGAGUCUUCUUGACCACAAAAGAGCUAUCAUCUGAGGAGUCCUCCCAGUGGUUUGAUAGUUACACUCCUUUGUCCAUCUCUCGAUCUCAAAUUUUGAUGGAGAUCGAGGGUCAAGGAUAUCUGCAAUGGCUUGGACCAAUGAAGUCUCCUCUAGAUAGGAGUAAGAGGAAGUACUACCACUUCUAUCACAAUCACGGCCA